GUGCUUGCUUCAGCAGCACUUACACUAAAAUCGGAACGAUACAGAGAAGAUUAGCAUGGCCCCUGCACAAGGACGACACACCAAUUCGUAAACAAAGCUGGUUAAG